AUUGAACGCUGGCGGCAGGCUUAACACAUGCAAGUCGAGCGGAGAUGAGGUGCUUGCACCUUAUCUUAGCGGCGGACGGGUGAGUAAUGCUUAGGAAUCUGCCUAUUAGUGGGGGACAACAUUCCGAAAGGAAUGCUAAUACCGCAUACGUCCUACGGGAGAAAGCAGGGGAUCUUCGGACCUUGCGCUAAUAGAUGAGCCUAAGUCGGAUUAGCUAGUUGGUGGGGUAAAGGCCUACCAAGGCGACGAGCGGUAGCGGGUCUGAGGGGAUGAUCCGCCACACUGGGACUGAGACACGGCCCAGACUCCUACGGGAGGCAGCGGGGGGGAAUAUUGGACAAGGGGGGGAACCCUGAUCCAGCCAUGCCGCGUGUGUGAAGAAGGCCUUAUGGUUGUAAAGCACUUUAAGCGAGGAGGAGGCUACUGAGACUAAUACUCUUGGAUAGUGGACGUUACUCGCAGAAUAAGCACCGGCUAACUCUGUGCCAGCAGCCGCCGUAA
rnacentral:rRNA from 1 species